rnacentral:tRNA from 1 species
GGCGGAGUACCUCAGUUGGUCAGAGGACCCGGCUCAUACCCGGGGCGUCGUCGGUUCGAGCCCGACCUCCGCUACCA